rnacentral:rRNA from 1 species
GAUGAACGCUGGCGGCGUGCUUAACACAUGCAAGUCGAACGAAGCACUUUACCUGAUUUCCUUCGGGGAUGAUUGUUCUGUGACUGAGUGGCGGACGGGUGAGUAACGCGUGGAUAACCUGCCUCACACAGGGGGAUAACAGUUGGAAACGACUGCUAAUACCGCAUAAGCGCACAGCACCGCAUGGUGCAGUGUGAAAAACUCCGGUGGUGUGAGAUGGAUCCGCGUCUGAUUAGCUUGUUGGCGGGGUAACGGCCCACCAAGGCGACGAUCAGUAGCCGGCCUGAGAGGGCGACCGGCCACAUUGGGACUGAGACACGGCCCAGACUCCUACGGGAGGCAGCAGUGGGGAAUAUUGCACAAUGGGGGAAACCCUGAUGCAGCGACGCCGCGUGAGCGAUGAAGUAUUUCGGUAUGUAAAGCUCUAUCAGCAGGGAAGAUAAUGAUGGUACCUGACUAAGAAGCUCCGGCUAAAUACGUGCCAGCAGCCGCGGUAAUACGUAUGGAGCAAGCGUUAUCCGGAUUUACUGGGUGUAAAGGGAGCGUAGGCGGUCCUGCAAGUCUGAUGUGAAAGGCCGGGGCUCAACCCCGGGACUGCAUUGGAAACUGUAGGACUAGAGUGUCGGAGGGGUAAGUGGAAUUCCUAGUGUAGCGGUGAAAUGCGUAGAUAUUAGGAGGAACACCAGUGGCGAAGGCGGCUUACUGGACGACUACUGACGCUGAGGCUCGAAAGCGUGGGGAGCAAACAGAAUUAGAUACCCUGGUAGUCCACGCCGUAAACGAU